rnacentral:rRNA from 1 species
AACGAACGUUGGCGGCGUGGAUUAGGCAUGCAAGUCGAACGCGGAUCCCUGGGCAACUGGGGAGGAGAGUGGCGAAAGGGGCAGUAAGGCGUGGGUAACCUACCCUCCGGGCCGGGAUAGCUUCGGGAAACUGAAGGUAAUACCGGGCGACGCAGCGAGAUCGCAUGGUCUUGCUGCCAAAGGUCCGCCGCCGGGGGAGGGGCUCACGUGGUAUUAGCUAGACGGCGGGGUAACGGCCCACCGUGGCAAAGAUGCCUAGCAGGUGUGAGAGCACGACCUGCGCCACUGGCACUGAGACACUGGCCAGACACCUACGGGUGGCUGCAGUCGAGGAUCUUCGGCAAUGGGCGCAAGCCUGACCGAGCGACGCCGCGUGUGCGAUGAAGGCCUUCGGGUUGUAAAGCACUGUCGAGGGGGAGGAAGCCGCAAGGUUGACCUAUCCCUGGAGGAAGCACGGGCUAAGUUCGUG